CUUUCCAAUAUGCCCUUUCAAGGAAAUUCGUAGGAAUAGUAUGAAAAGUUCGAACCUACGCAAUCUCUAUAGUAAAAUAAAAAAAUCCUGGAACAGGCAUGUUGGCCAGGUUGAGCUAUAAACACUUUUAGUUGCGAAAGCUAUAUAUCCCCAUAAUACAUGCAUACAGCGGCUGAAAUAAGUAUUUAACAUGUCACCAUUUUUCUCACUACAUAGAUUUCCUAUUGACAUGAACAUUUCACCAGAUGUCAGGAACAACCCAAGUAACCCAUACAUACAAAGAAAGUAGCACAAAUAAGAUCAGAAAUUAAGUUGUGUGUAAUGGUGUGAAAUGACACAGGAAAAAAGUAUUGAACACACCAACAGUUAUUUAUUUAAUACUUUGUACAAAAGCCUGUGUUUGCAAUGACAGCUUCAAGACACCACCUGUAUGGAGAAACUAGUCGCAUGCAUUGCUCUGGUGUGGUUUUGGCCCAUUCCUACACACAAACAGUCUUCCAAUCUUGAAGAUUCCAUGGGCUUCUUUUAUGGACCUUGAGUUUCAGUUCUUUCCAUAGAUUUUAGAUUGGAUUCAAGUCAGGUGAUUGGCUGGGCCAUUCUAGCAGCUUUAUUUGUUUUCUUUGAAACCAAUUGAGAGUUUACUUGGCAUUAUGUUUUGGAUCAUUAUCAUGCUGAAAUGUCCACCCUCGCUUCUUCGUAGAUGGCAACAGAUUUUUGUCAAGAAUGUCUCAGUACAUUUGCCCAUUCAUCCUUCCUUCAAUGUGAAGUUAACCAGUACCAUUUGCGUAGAAGCAGCCCCACACCAUCAUGUUCCCACCUCCGAACUUCACUGUUGUUAUGAUGUUUUUAGUAGUAAUGGGGCGAACAACACUGGUGCGUCAGCACUGUGCCGAGUGCACAAGAGUGAAAGCCCGUAUUGCUGCGUGUAUCACUUUAAGAAAAAAAUCAUGUGGCCAACACAGGAAGUGUGUGGUUUGAAUGUGCCGCGCCAAAUUGUGUUAAUAAGGAAACAAACUGUGUCGACAUGUUGUGGAUUUGCUGGGUGGAGUUUUGCUGUUGCUGUUGAUUUUGGAUUUUUGCUUGCCCUCACCGUGUUCCACUGACUUCAUGGAUCGUUCCAAGAAGUUUUCCCCAGUCUGGAAUAAUUUUGAUCUUGUGAUCCCAAAUAAGGUGAUGUGUCUGCUCUGCUCCACAGAGCUAUCUUACAUCAAUAAGAGCACUUCAUCAAUGCUGAGGCAUUAUAGAGCUCGGCAUGGCAAUGAAGAAUUGGCAGAUACUCAUGUGAGUACCCCAGUUCCUAACAAGCAAGCAGUGGCUGAGGCUGUGAUCAACAUGAUCAUCAAAGACUGUCAGCCAUUCACCAUUGUUGGAAAAUGAGGGAUUCAAAGUUAUCAACUCGCACUUCAAUUUUUAUGCUCACCACCUUCAUCUGUACCCUGUGAAAGAGUUUUUUUUUUUUUAAGGCAGGGGAACUGGUGGAGAAAUCGCCUUGGAGCAAAGACACUUCAAAAACUUUUAUUCCUCAAUAAAAAUGCAUAAAUAAAUAAAUGUUUAGUCUUUUAUUUCAUAUGAUUGAACACUUAAGUUAACAAAAUUCCAUACGCCUUCAAAAUUUUAACUCUGAAUUUUAUUACAGACAAAUUUGCUUAGCGAUUUGCUUUUACAUAGCAACUCAUUUUAGCAUUUACACAAACAAGGUUUUAAGCAGCCGGAAGUUUGAAUGACUAAUAUAGCAAUAGUCCGGUGCAAUGACCAUGUCAAUAGCACCUUUGGAAAUAUAUUUAGUGAGAAAAAUGGUGACAUGCUAAAUACUUAUAAAGAGCAUAAUUUCAGUUGUAAAAAUGUUUCUCCCCCCCCCAAAUUAUGUCUGUUUUCUAUUAAUUACAGCACAUUACAUUUCCUACAGAACAACAGCUGACAUUUUUGUUUACUCCACCUCUGGUACAUUAUGAUCAUCUAAAUCACUUUGGAAUGGUAUGUUUUUUUUCCCCCCUUUAAACAGCAGGACAAAUGUAAUUUUUCAGACAUUGCCAAUUGGCAAUAUUGCAUAUAGUAUUGUAUAGUAUUUGCUUAUGGUUUGUUGUGACCUAGGGUCAUAAUGGAACCCGCUGCGUGGUAUCUUUUGGAUUUUGAAUGUCUACGACUCUUCUUGGUAGCACAUUUUGCCGUGUGACAACAAGUUCUGUCCAUCCUUUGUCUUUCGCUUAUCCUGCUCUGACUGGGAUGAGAGGUGGGAUACACUCUGAACUGAUCUCUUGUCAAUCACAGACCACAUAUAGACGCACAAGCAUUCACACUCACACCUAUGAGCAAUUUAGAGGCUUCGAUUGAUCUAACGAGUGAUGGGUUCGGCAACACCAAUGCGUCGACGCAUGUGCCGAGCUCAUAUGAUGAAACCCCGUGCCGAUGCGCGUAUAACUUGAAGAAAGUCACGUGACCGAUACAGCCGCUGUAUUGCUCGUACCUGUCACUGUGUGACGCUGUGCCAGACUGUGUUUAUAGGGAAACGCAUCUGUCGAUGGGAUGCGUCUCUGCCAAAUCAGUCAUGGUUCUUUUGAAACACAAUUCUUCCCUUCAAGCCAUUGUGAUACAGAGCCCAAAAGAAAAGUAUAAGUUUUCCGCCGUGUGGGACCAUUUUCAUCUCAUAUCCCCCCAACAAUAUCAGCAAAUAAGGUAUUUGUUUUCAUUUCCUUGCUUCAUCCUGUUCCUCUCAGUUUCUGCUUGAUCCAUCAGAAUUAAAAUCCUUUUCAAAGUAACUAUCAUUUAAGUGAUUCAUUUUAUUUUCUGAAGGUUAAAUGUCGCAGUUGUGCUAAGUACAUAAAAGCGCCUCCUCAAAUAAAGCAAUCGAGGCAUGGAAAAGAAGUCACAAAUACACUUAAAAUAGAAACAGGUGUGCAGACAUUUUCCAACUUUCUUCGUGGUCACUUUAAUAAUAAAUAUAUAUUUUAGGCUAUUUCAUUUUUUUAACGUCAAUUUUCCAUGAAGCAUGCAUUGGACCGGGUAGUGCUGAAUUGCAUUAUGAGCCAUUAUGUUUUGAAAGGUGUGUGUAGAAAAUGUUUGGAUAUAGUUGAUAAAUGUAAUCACUUAAAUAUUUAAUGUAAAUAUUUUUUUGAACCUCUUUUGGCGGUAAACACUUUUUAAGUACACAAGCCCCAUCAGGGCCUUGUGUGAGAGAGUUCUCCAAAGCUGGAGAGAAGGAAAAAAGGAAACGCCUGAAUGCCAAACACUGGAAAAAGUUUUUCUUUUUUUAAAUAAACAUAUGAAAAACAAUUUUAAAACUUUCUGCCUCAACCAAAACUAUAUCAACAUCAUCACACUCAGAAUUACAACACUUUCACUAUGAUUUUCACAUUAUUGACUGACUAUUUUAAAGACACUAAAGAUAUUUUAAAUUUAGGAUUAAGACAAUAUAACAUACAAUAACCUCGAGAUAUUGUAUAGGUUGCCUGCAAAAUAAUAUUUAAGAUCCAACAGGUGUCUGUAUUGAGCAACACAGGGCCACAGUACCCACACAGGAUCAAUACAGUUUACCAAUGUGUUGCAAUGCUUCACGAGGCCUCAUCUACCCAUAACACACACAGUGUUGAUCAUUUGUGCAACAUGUGUAUUUGUCCUAUC